rnacentral:lncRNA from 1 species
GGCACUUUUGAAAAUGAAGGUUCAUGGCUGAAUAAAUGCUCUGCGAAUGCCAUCUUACCAGCAAUACAUAAGCGAACAGCUGACAUAUCCUCAUGGCCGCUAUAGGGGGCGCUAAAGCAGUACUUCUCACUUCACCAAACACACUGUGCAGACAGAGGAGAGGGGAAAAUGUAGUAAGAUGCUUGCCCUGCUCAGUGUCCUCCUGCUUUCAUCACAUGUCCUUCCUCUCGUCCAAUCACAGUCAUGCGAUGACAAAACAGAGUACUUAAAUGACAAAACAUGCUGCACAAAAUGUAAACCAGGAGAGUAUGUGUUAGAGAACUGCAUACAAAAAAUGCCUGUUACUCUGUGUGCCCCAUGUGGAAAUGGCUUCUUCACGGAUGACUAUAACAGCAAUUACAACUGGUGCUAUCAUUGUACAACGUGCUCCAAAGACCAUAUGAAGUAUGAGAAGAAUUGUACGGCGACAAGUGAUGCAGUGUGCACGUGUGUUGAAGGCUACAGAUGCAGAGACAGUAAAUGCCAGGAGUGUGAGAAGAUUCAGACAGCUACUGUUUCUUCUCCUGCUUCUACUAAAACAAUACCGCCCACCCAUGAUAUAAUGUGGAUCUCGGUGAGUCUGUGUUGUGCGUGUGUGUGUGUGUGUGUUCUGCUCACCUGUUUCCUUCUCAUCAGCAGACAUGCACGACAAUAUGGAUGGAUCAUGCCAACAUCACCCGGUCAGUGCUACUAUAGACAACACAUCAGUGCUUUAAUUCACAAAGAAAACCUGCUC